UCUUUAGCUGCCACCUCUGGGGCUCCCAGGGGCCGGCCCCGCCCCUCGGGCUGCGCUGGGGGGAGAGGCGGGGCCAGGAGCCCCAGAGCGGGCGGGCUGCGGUGGGGAGGGUGGCCCGAGCAGGUGGAGGGCUGGCGGAGCAGAGGCAGAGGGGCUGCCCUGGCUCGGCCUCUGGGGCCCGAGCUCCAGCGCCCAGCUCUCCCCGCCUUGCUGGCCCCCGAUGCCUGCCAGACUUUUGUCUUUGCCGGAGCCCCUCCCCGUCCAGUUGGGAUUUGGGGGCCGAGCUGUCUGGGGUCCCGGGGCCAAUGCAGUGCCGGCUCCUCCGGGGCCUGGCAGGAGCCCUCCUCACCCUCCUGUGCUUGGGGCUCCUCUCCCUUCGCUACCACGUGAGCCGGUCCCCGAAGAGCGUGCAGGGGACCCCCGGGCUGAGCCCACCGAGCCCGCCGCCCCCGGAGCUGCAGCUGCAGGACGUCUACAUCGCUGUCAAGACGACCCGCGCCUUCCACCGCUCUCGCCUGGACCUGCUGCUGGACACGUGGGUCUCCAGGACCAGGGAACAGACGUUCGUCUUCACUGACAGCCGGGAUGAAAGCCUCCAGGAGAGACUGGGGCCCCACCUAGUGGUCACCAACUGCUCUGCGGAGCACAGCCACCCAGCCCUGUCCUGCAAGAUGGCUGCUGAGCUGGACGCCUUCCUGGCCAGUGGACUGCGGUGGUUCUGCCACGUGGAUGAUGACAACUAUGUCAACGCAAGGGCGCUGCUGAAGCUACUAAAAGCCUUUCCGCAGACGCUGGACGUGUACAUAGGCCGGCCCAGCCUGAACCGGCCUAUCCACGCCGUGGAGCCGCAGCCCCACAAUCGCACGAGGCUGGUCCAGUUCUGGUUUGCCACUGGGGGUGCUGGCUUCUGCAUCAACCGGAAACUGGCUUUGAAGAUGGCCCCAUGGGCCAGUGGCCCCCGCUUCGUGGACACAUCUGCGCUCAUCCGGCUCCCUGACGACUGCACUGUGGGCUACAUAAUCGAGUGCAAGCUGGGUGGCCACCUGCAGCCCAGCCCCCUCUUCCAUUCCCACCUGGAGACCCUGCAGUUGCUGGGGGCUGCCCAGCUUCCGGAGCAGACCUCCAGGGGUGUGAUGCUAAAAUUCUCUGAACUGGUCCCCAAGUGCCAGCGGGAAGGACCUGCCCAGAUGAGACGAAGCUUGUCUUCAGGUCACCCUCAGCUACGGCGUCUUUGAGGGGAAGCUCAACGUCAUUAAGCUGCAGGGCCCAUUCUCCCCCGAGGAGGACCCCUCCAGGUUCCGCUCCCUGCAUUGUCUCCUCUACCCCGACACUCCCUGGUGCCCACAGCUGGUGGCCCGAUGAGCCCGGAACUGCCGGGCGACUGUGGAGCUGAGGCCUCUGGUUGGCCCUCGCCUCCCAAGGCAGCCCUGAGGGCCUGCGGCAGUGCCCUGGGUGGGCAGUCCCCGGCAGGGCUUCCGAGUGGUGGGCAAGCCCAGGAUCGGAUGGUGACUGGUGGUGAAGGCAUCCCAGGCUCCGGAGACGUGGGUCGGAUGGACUGGGAACCGGGUGGAGUCAGAGAGGCCCCAGGGGCUGGGCUCCCACGGGCCCUGGGUGGCUGAAUUGAACAGGGUGGGGCCAUUGAGCUGGCCUGCGGCUCAGGAGUCUUAAAUCGCAGCAACAUUACAGGGGCUUCUGGGUGGGGGUGGCCCCAGCCCAGCUCUGGUCUCUGUCACUCCCUGGGGUCAAGCACUGGGCCCGCCACUCACUCCUGGGUCCCUGGGCCUGGUCCGCAACCGCUGGGCACCGGGGGAAAGGCGGCCGGGGCUCAAGGUCUGUGGCAGGUGCUGUGGUUGCUGGCCGUCUCCAGCUCCUUGCCCCCCGCCCUGGCUAACAGGCCCCGGUUUUGUUUGGAGGGUCAGCCUGCCCGGAGCCGACGGUGGAUCAUCGUGGGUCCCAUCCAAGCUUGGCGAGCCUUUUGCUCACUCUCCCAGCUCCCCGUGCGGUUAGGCGCUUCCAUGUUCCCGGCUCUGCUAGUCAGAGCUCUGCCCCUUCGUGUGAACUGAGCAAUGCCAAGAGGGAGGAGUUGGGAAAGUGUUGCCGCCCCACCCUCCCUCUUCCCGCUGUGGAUGUGGGUGUGAUGUCUGGUUCUGGGCAGCCACUUUGCGGCCAUGAAGCAGAGGCCAGGACAACCCUCCGCACCUGUCUUGUCUAGCAUCCGGUUCUGUGAGAAAAGUAAACCCUGUCUGUUCAAGUCUC